ACUAACCCCAGUUCUGGCCCCCGCUAUAGCAAGACUUCAGAGUUCCAUGUCUGCUGUGCUGUGGAACCCAGAGUGCUCUUGCCUGGAUGGCUGAGAAUCCCUUGGACCCUGGAAGCACCUACUCCAUGAUGGCCCGCAGGAGGACCAAACUGGAGACAGUCCUGGCUCUGAGAAACAGGAAGGAAGGAGGGUGAAAGGAAGGUCCACCUGCACACAAAGGAAAGAUGAAAAAGAAUCACCUACCAUGGGAGCUGGCAAAGUACUUCAGAACUUUUAUUCCUUCCAGAAGCAGUGUAUCACGAUAGAUUGAAUCAAGAAGUGACAUUAAGGCCGGCACAGUGGCUCACGCCUGUAAUCCCAACACUUUGGGAGGCCGAGGCAGGCGGAUCACAAGAUCAGGAGAUCAAGACCAUCCUGGCUAACAUGGUGAAACCCCAUGUCUACUAAAAAUACAAAAAAUUAGCCGGGCAUGGUGGCGGGCGCCUGUAGUCCCAGCUACUCGGGAGGCUGAGGCAGGAGAACGGCGUGAACCCGGGAGGCGGAGCCUGCAGUGAGCCAAGAUCAUGCCACCAUACUACAGCCU
rnacentral:antisense_RNA from 1 species